UAUGAGUGUAUGCUAUCAGCUAUUAGUUUCUUUACAGAUGGCGAAUGGAAUACCAAUUAACAAAGAAAAGCAAAAUCUAUCCAUUGCUUGAAAGUUAUUGUUUGAUCUUAUAAUUUGCUUGGUUUUCCAUUAAUGGAUGACACCAAAGCACCUUUACUUGAUGGAUUUUAUGAUUUUACAUCAUUGUAUGCUAACAAAAACAUAUUCCAUUUUAUCUAUUUUAUUUUGCUAAACCACCAGCUUUUUUGCUAUUCAUUAAUGGUUUGAUUCUCAUAUGCAUAUGGUAUUCCUUUUGUAGUUAGUUUUGAAUAAUUGUGCGAGAAUGUGGAUAGUAUCUAUCUGGACAAUCACCAAAAAGGAACCGGGCCAAGAGUAAAAUGACAAGUAUGAAGUUCAUAAAGUAAUGUGAUUUGAGUCUGAUUUGCUGUUGGUCAUGAAUCUUUAUGUAAACACAUUAGCAUCCUUUUUUUUCUUUUUGAAUAAAGAAUUCCAGUGGUGAAAAAGAAGGCUAAACACCUACCAUGAAGCAUAAGGGGUGACACAAAAUGUAACACGAUUAAUAUUCUUCACUACUAUAUAACCCAUAUUUUUGCUGGGCCAAAUUCUUCAGUCACUAAUAAAACAUGUAUAAAAAAAAAAUCUUGCUAUAACUUGUGUUGUUUUGGCAGGACCAUUGGAUGUGGGAAUUCGUAUGAUUUAUUUGGUAUGGUUGUGAACUUGGGAUGAAAAAGCUGUAAUAAUUGCAUUACCAGACUAAUAAAAAUACAGUUGUGUUGAAUGUAACAAACCACUGACAGAAACAUUACGGCCAUAUGGCUUCUGCCUUUUGAUUUAAUGAAAUUAAUGCCUUGCACACUUUCAUAUGGUCAUUGAACAAUUGAAUAAAUUUCUUGGUUGGGGGCAAUGUAUAAUGAGUUUGUAUAGGAAGUUUUUUCCCCCUUUAAGAUGGGCUUUUCUUAUUCCUUUUUUUUUUUUUUCUUUUUUUUUUUUUCAAUUCUCUCUCUCAUUUUUGCUGAUUUUAUGAUGUUAUGAAUACAGGGUCCCUAAGGAUGUGAACUCCGUGUGAAUUUUGGAGAGCAUAUCAGGAGUAGAUGCACGUAGCAAACAUCUGAGGAGUAUGGUGGCAUUUCAAAUAGUUCUCAACUUCUCACUUGUUUUGAUAACAAGGUUGCUCAUAUCCUUAUGCAAUUGCGGGUCUAAUAUGUGUGCUUACAUAUAAGAUCACACAAGAUGUUUCUGUUUUAUCGGCAAGUUUUUGGUAUAAUCCCGUUGAUUCAUUUGAUUGCUUUAAAUAAAUAGUAACCCAAUUUAACUCUCUUUGUAAGUGCACACACCCGAACAACUCACACACAUACACCCCCGAACUUGGGGUACGUGGCUAGUAUGUAUCCAAGCCUGAAACAUAUCAUAUUCCCGAACAGAAUUGCACAGACACUGCUAAAUAUUCACAUUAUCUAGUGUUCCUAUUUCAUUUUAUGGGGUAAAAUAAUUUUUUAUGUUACCUAGUGUGUAAUAUAGGCAUUUCACAUGUCUGAAGCAAUAAUAUAAUAAAAUGAAUAAUUGGAUAUGCUUUUUAGUUGCAUAUUCAACCAAAAGUAUCAGACAUACUCAUGUCCAAGUACUGUGUGUACCACAGCUACUUGUAAGUUCUAACUACUUUUAAAGAGUCCACGUAGCAUACCGAGCUUCAAGAACUUGACAUGGGUUUUAUAGGAAGAAGUAGCUCGUCAGGAUCCAAUGAUGACUGGAUUCUUGGAUCAUCAAAGACAAGUGACGGAGAUCGUUCAGGGUGGAGGAAAGACAUUCGUCUUGAGUCCUGAGGCUCCAAUACCCUCUUAUGAGGAAAUAGCGGCUGCUUGGGAGCGAUUGCACCCACUCGCUGUUGCUCAAAUGGGUACUUGAUCCAUUAUCCUCUUUUUCUCAUAUAAUUCAGCCCAACAUCCAUGGCUAGUUGAUUGCAUAUGCUAGCUAGAUAAGCCUCCUGAUAUUCCAAUUUGUUUCUACUAUAAUAUGUUAAUGAUAAUUUACGUGUAUAUAUUUUCAUGUCAUCUCCUCGGGAUACUGAAGCGGAGGAGAUCCCACGUUUAUUGUGAAGGACAAAAAUUAUGAUCUUUUUAAAAUGUAUGUUUACUUGGUUCUUAACUUCUUAUUGAGAAUUGGCUUUUAUAUAAUCAUACAUUAGAAGACAAGCCAGUGAUAUACGACUUGUGGAGUGGUUUUCUAAGGAACUGUUCUUGUCAAAUAAACAGAACAGAUUUGAAGUAAUAUGUUAAUCGAAGGUUCGUGUGGUUAGGCUUCUUAUCUUCUGCAAGGUAUUUGUCGUACCGCAAAUUCUUUUCGAAAAUGGAGUACUUGUGCUGCUCUCUCUCUGUAGCAGUGAGAUUCCCUAAUAUCGUGCAAAGAACAGCUUGGAUUUAUUGAAGAAGAUGUCAUUCCUUUUAUUCCUUUAUUAUAAAUAAAAAGCAAUAUCGAAAAAUUGAAUGCAAAAUCUGAAGCAAUUUUUUUUUUUUUUUUCUUUUUGCCAAAAUUUGAACUUAUUGAAGACAAGAAGUAACCUUUAAUGGUUGAAUCGGAAGUUCUUUUUUUUCUCUUUGCCUUUUUCUCCCGUUUUAUGUCUAUAUAUAUAUACCAAUUUCUCUAUUCCACUCCGUUUAUAUCUCCUUACUUUUUUCUAUUUGAUCUCUAUUGUAAGAGCUUUCUUUGAUAUGGAACCCAUUCCUGUCCUUGACCACUUUUAUAGUUGGUGUGAGGCAUCCCUUCAAUAGUUACACUGCCACAAACUUUGCCUCUCUUUUGCUUCAUUCUCCGGAAGAAAAAAAAAAAAAAAAAAAAAAUUGCCUUUGUUUUUCUUGUGGUUCAGCGGUUGAUAUGGGAUUUGGAUCAUCUUAUUAGUUUUUCCCUUCAACUCAGGGUUCUAAAUAUGCCAAUCAUCACUUGUGCAAUUUCCCACUAAUUACAAUUCUUAGAACCAAUAAAAAACCUUAAUAGAGACUUGUCCUUGGCAUUUAUCGAAAAAUAAAAAAAUGAUCCACAUCAUGAUUACAUCAGAGAAAAAGUGAAAAGGAGUUGAUUAUUUAUGCACAAUUCAAGAAGGUUUCACUCUCUUAUUUUGUUAUAUAAAUAAUCAAUCAAUUAGGUGUUAGGUGGUGCAAGUAUUAUUAUAUAGAUUUGAGUAUGGAAAUAUAUAUAUAUAUUACGAAAAUAGAGAUAUAGAUAUAUAUGUGCGAAUGCAUGACAAAGGAAAUGAACCUACACAGGGGCACAGGAAUCAACUUACACUAGACUUUGAAAUGGUGAACAAAGUCAGGACAUUAGUCAUUAAUGUACUAGCCUAUUGUCAGUUACGGCCUCAAUGGAGACAUCUUUUUUGGGACACGGGAGUAUUAAAUAAGUAAGUAAAAGGUGUAAUUUUUUUACACUA